UUGUUUAUUGGUGUGCCAAACCGCCAUAAAACACCAGAAGAAGAACUCACCGUAACUCCAGAGUAUACGUCAGAUCGCGGAUUCAUAUGCAGUUAUUCAUAUGUAGCGUUUAUGUGGAAGUGAAAGUCCGUGACAAAAUAUUACCUCAAGUACACCACUAUGUGAAAAUGGUCACUCUUGUGCAAUACAUGACCAAAUCUGAUGACUCCCAACUCCCCGACCAAAGUACUGCAGCAGUCAAUAACAUAUCCACAAGAGUUAAAUGGGGCACUUUCUAUAUGAGAGUUCAACCUUUCUGUCUUGAGAGAUUCACACCUUUCAGAUUCCCAGCUUUAUGAUAUUGUUCAGAAUUUGGUUGGAGAAAAUUAGGAGAUUGGGGCAAAUGCUGUUCGGUCCAGGCUUGCAGCUAUAAAUAUUCGAGUGCCGCGAAGGAGACUUGGACUGUAUGGUUAGAGUAAAUACUUUUUACCUACUUAGGUCCCAAGCUUUGGAAUGUUUUGCCCAACAAUGUUCAAUUUAAGUCUAAACUAAAGACAUAUCUCUUUAACAAAGGAUUCACAUAAUUCGCCUAUUAAAUAUACGUAUGCCGCAAUAGUUAGCUUGUCUGG